UUAUAUACCGGUUCUCGUUAGAUCACCGAAGUCAAGCAUCAUUGGGCGCGGUGAGUACUUGGGUGGGUGACCACCUGGGAACAACA